UACAGAGGGUGCGAGCGUUAAUCGGAAUUACUGGGCGUAAAGCGUGCGUAGACGGUUAUUUAAGUCGGGUGUGAAAGCCCCGGGCUCAACCUGGGAAUUGCAUUCGAGACUGAAUAGCUAGGGUACGGUAGAGGGAAGUGGAAUUUCCGGUGUAGCGGUGAAAUGCGUAGAUAUCGGAAGGAACAUCAGUGGCGAAAGCGACUUCCUGGACCAAUACUGACGAUCAGGUGCGAAAGCGUGGGGAGCAAACAGG
rnacentral:rRNA from 1 species